ACGGGAGGCAGCAGUGGGGAAUAUUGCACAAUGGGGGAAACCUUGAUGCAGCGACGCCGCGUGAGUGAAGAAGUAUCUCGGUAUGUAAAGCUCUAUCAGCAGGGAAGAAAAUGACGGUACCUGACUAAGAAGCCCCGGCUAACUACGUGCCAGCAGCCGCGGUAAUACGUAGGGGGCAAGCGUUAUCCGGAUUUACUGGGUGUAAAGGGAGCGUAGGCGGCGAUGCAAGUCUGAAGUGAAAGGCGGGGGCUCAACCCUUGGACUGCUUUGGAAACUGUAUUGCUAGAGUGCAGGAGAGGUAAGUGGAAUUCCUAGUGUAGCGGUGAAAUGCGUAGAUAUUAGGAGGAACACCAGUGGCGAAGGCGGCUUACUGGACUGUAACUGACGUUGAGGCUCGAAAGCGUGGGGAGCAAACAGGAUUAGAUACCCUGGUA
rnacentral:rRNA from 1 species